ACGUAGGUGGCAAGCGUUGUCCGGAAUUAUUGGGCGUAAAGCGCGCGCAGGCGGUCCUUUAAGUCUGAUGUGAAAGCCCACGGCUCAACCGUGGAGGGUCAUCGGAAACUGGUUUGCUUGAGUGUCGGAGGGGAUAGCGGAAUUGCUAAUGUAGAGGUGAAAUUCGUAGAUAUUAGCAGGAACACCGGUGGCGAAGGCGGCUAUCUGGACGACAACUGACGCUGAGGCGCGAAAGCGCGGGGAUCAAACAGGA
rnacentral:rRNA from 1 species